rnacentral:rRNA from 1 species
CAGUAGCCGCGGUAACACAGAGGGUGCAAGCGUUAAUCGGAAUUACUGGGCGUAAAGCGCGCGUAGGUGGUUUGUUAAGUUGGAUGUGAAAUCCCCGGGCUCAACCUGGGAACUGCAUCCAAAACUGGCAAGCUAGAGUAUGGUAGAGGGUGGUGGAAUUUCCUGUGUAGCGGUGAAAUGCGUAGAUAUAGGAAGGAACACCAGUGGCGAAGGCGACCACCUGGACUGAUACUGACACUGAGGUGCGAAAGCGUGGGGAGCAAACAGGAUUAGAGACCCCAGUAGUCCCUGUCUCUUAUAC